GUUAUCACGGGAGACACACGGCGGGUGCUAACGUCCGUCGUGAAGAGGGAAACAACCCAGACCGCCAGCUAAGGUCCCAAAGUCAUGGUUAAGUGGGAAACGAUGUGGGAAGGCCCAGACAGCCAGGAUGUUGGCUUAGAAGCAGCCAUCAUUUAAAGAAAGCGUAAUAGCUCACUGGUCGAGUCGGCCUGCGCGGAAGAUGUAACGGGGCUAAACCAUGCACCGAAGCUGCGGCAGCGAACGUAUCACCCAAGACAACUUUACGGAGUUGACGAUUGACGGAGCGAAGCGACGUCAAAGCGUUCAUUAAAGUCGAGUUGGCUUAGGGAUACGUUCGUUGGGUAGGGGAGCGUUCUGUAAGCCUGCGAAGGUGGCCUGUGAGGGUUGCUGGAGGUAUCAGAAGUGCGAAUGCUGACAUAAGUAACGAUAAAGCGGGUGAAAAGCCCGCUCGCCGGAAGACCAAGGGUUCCUGUCCAACGUUAAUCGGGGCAGGGUGAGUCGACCCCUAAGGCGAGGCCGAAAGGCGUAGUCGAUGGGAAACGGGUUAAUAUUCCCGUACUUGGUGUUACUGCGAAGGGGGGACGGAGAAGGCUAUGUUGGCCGGGCGACGGUUGUCCCGGUUUAAGCGUGUAGG
rnacentral:rRNA from 1 species